rnacentral:lncRNA from 1 species
AUUGCAUUUCAUCAUGUCAAUCAGAAUUAGAUCCGAAAAAAAAAAAACAAAAAAAACAAAAAAAUGAAAAAAAAAACGAAAAAAGAAAUGAAAAAAUAAAACGAGAAAAAAAUAAAAAAAAAAAAAAUUUUACAAAAAAAAUAAAUAAAUAAAAAUAAUAAUAAAAAAUAAAUAAAAUAUAAUUAAAAAAAUUUUUGGACU